GGUCUAUGAGUCACAACAAGCCUAAUUAAUUAACAAUUUCCCCUGUUACCUUUUCGUCUUCUCCGGAUUUCUUAUUCUCAGAUCUGUUUCUCUAGCUUUUGAUUCUCUCAGUUCUCUUUCCAGAUUCCGAUAGAUCGUUUCGUGAUCUAUCGUUUGAUUAUGGCUUCUCUUGGCUAUCAUCUAUGCACGAUUUCAGCCUACAUAUACAGCCUAUGACGAUGUUUCCGAGGUCAUAAUCGAGUAGAUCGAGGUGUUUGCGAUUUUUGAAACGGUCUUCGGAGCUGACGAAGGAUGGACAGAUCUGGCCUACCAGAUUUGCAUGUGCUGCCUUUUAAAGUGAGAUAGAGAUCGUUAUGGUGCCAUGGAUCGUAGAAGAAGAAAAGUGAUAAGAGUUGAAACCAGGUCCAACUCAUAAGUCAUUGCAGAUUCAUCAGAAAUGGACCAACAACUUUCUUCAUCUCCUUAAACAGCGUGGCUUCAAGAUUAUGAGUGGGAAUCCCCAUACGUAGAGGAAGUUGUUGGUAUGAAUCUGUAAUGACUUGUGAGUUGGGUCUGAUUUCAACUCUAUCAAAAAGUGAGUGAAAAAAUUAUGUAAGAGUGAGGGAAAAAAUGUGAGGCAAGAAACAUGGGAAGACGAUGUGAGAGAAUUUAUGCUGUGUGGUUGUGUUCGACCUUUGCCAUGACAGGUGCGCUUGCAUGGCAGGUCAAAACCCUAAUAAAAUUAUUUUUUUUCGGGGGAGAUGGUACGGGGGUUUUAUUUUAUUUUUUAUCCCCGGCUCUCCCCCACCCGGUGCCUUUCUUUUUUUUCUCUCUAUUGCUGCCUGAGUUAAUUGUUUGGUCUGACGCCAAACUCACAUGGACUUACAGCAAUUAAGAUAUCUGCACACAGUUUGAAAUUGAUUACACUGCAGGACAUCCAAUUAGAGGUACAAUCCAGUAACGCACAUAAGUUCAAUUUAAUUUAUCUACUGUUAUUUGAUUCUUCUAGCACAUAAAGAUAAUGCUGCUUCCCUAUUCACUACGUUUACAUAUCGAAUUGGUCACCAAAAUAUCCUACUUUCAACUUUCUUAAACUAUGUUAUUGUAUUGCUUAUCUUACUUUUAACGUCUUAUUGGAUUGGAAUCUAUUUGACCUUUAGAUUGUUUUCAUGUGAUUGAUUUUAAACAUAAUUUUUUAAUGGCGAUCUGAUUCAAAAUCAUAUAUUAAUAAUCAUGCUAAAUCUUGUGCUCAUAAUUUGUCAUUUAAUUAUUAACUAUCAGAUUUUUAAUUACAUAAAUUUGGAAAUGCCAACAGCAUAUUGACAAAAUUACACUUACAGAGUUAUUUGUAAUACCUCUCAUUUUUCCAAGUUGUGCUGCUCCUAAGUGUAAAUCCAUUCCUAUCAUUAAAUACAUUUAAAGGUUUAUUCUUUUGUUCUGUAUGAUUUGGUACCUUUAUUUGUUGUUGGACUUUUUAUAUAAUGAUAAUGGUUGUGAGUUGGAUUGUGUGGGUAAGGAAUUGUUCUACUCCAGUUAAAGGUAUUGUACUUUUGCAAUAUAUUGUAAGGGGGGUGAAGCUUGUUGUAUCUAGCAUUUGAGCUCUUUAUUCUGUGAAGAAUUUUUUUGGAUGUGGAUCUAUACCAGCUGUGGAGUCGUGGAGCUGUUCUUUGAGAUGACAAAGGAUUCUAAUUUAAGGAAUAUUUACAUGUCGGCAUCUGAUUUUGGCAUUUUUGGCUGUUGGAAUCAAUUUUUGGGAUUGUUAACUGCAUUGCAACUUUUGAAGGAACAAGUAGUCCUCUCAAUACAACGGUCUCGUCGGAUCAAGAGGCGGUGUCUCAUUUUGAUUCUGUUAUGAUUGGUUCUUCCUUGAUCAUGGUGCUCUCGGCAUGUUAUGUUGUGCUCUGAUUGUGGGGCUUUUGCCUUGUGCAUACGAACUGCUUGAUCAUGGUUCUUUUGUCAUGUUAAUACAUUCCGCACUUAUCAAAGACACAUUUGAGGUUUAGGAUGUGGAAGCUGCUGAUUACUAUUUCUGGCAAUUAAGAGCCUUCCUUUUCUCUUUUCAGAUGGAUUUCCUCCGCAUGUACCUCUGGCAGUUGUGCUUUGCUUCUGAUUUAAUUUAUCAUAUAAAAUCAUUCAGGGUUGUGCAAGGUUAUCUAAAUUAGUUUGCUUGUGCAUUUGUUUUUUAGUAGUUGUUCUUGUUUUCCUGCUGAUGGUUGUUGGUAACCAGCCAGAUUUUGUGAUGUAUUUAUUUUCAGUUAUUUGAGCAAUAUUUGUGUUAA